rnacentral:rRNA from 1 species
CCUACGGGAGGCAGCAGUGAGGAAUAUUGGUCAAUGGACGCGAGCCUGAACCAGCCAAGUAGCGUGAAGGAAGACUGCCCUAUGGUUUGUAAACCUCUUUUAUCUGGGAACAAAAUGUUCCACUUGUGGCUUUUCGUAUGUACCAUAUGAACAAGGAUCUGCUAACUCCGUGCCAGCAGCCGCGGGAAUACGGAGGAUCCGAGCGUUAUCCGGAUUUAUUGGGUUUAAAGGGAGCGUAGGUGGAUUGUUAAGUGAGUUGUGAAAUUUUGGGGCUCAACCGUACAAUGGCAGUUGAAACUGGCAGUCUUGAGUACAGUAGAGGUGGGCAGAAUUCGUGGUGUAGCGGUGAAAUGCUUAGAUAUCACGAAGAACUCCGAUUGCGAAGGCAGCUCACUGGACUGCAACUGACGCUGAGGCUCGAAAGUGUGGGUAUCAAACAGGAUUAGAUACCCGAGUAGUC